rnacentral:lncRNA from 1 species
CCGACGCGCGCCCUGGACGUCCCUGCUCCAGCUUGGGCUCGGCGAGGACGUUGCAGGUAGCCGGGUUCCCCAGGGAAGAGGUGUCUCAUUUGGAAGCACGCCUGACGGCCAGUGUCCGAGCCACACAGAGGCCGAGAUUUUCCUUCCUCAUACAGUUAACUACGUUGUUUUCCUUGGGACGCCUACACCAUCUAUUCUGAAGCGCUGUUGAAUGAGAAACCCACGCGUACGGAGUUCAGAUGGCAGGCUUCCUGGAUAACUUCCGAUGGCCGGAGUGCGAGUGUAUUGACUGGAGUGAGCGCAGGAACACGGUAGCCUCCGUGGUUGCAGGAAUCUUGUUCUUUACAGGCUGGUGGAUAAUGAUCGAUGCGGCCG